GACGAACGCUAGCGGCGUGCCUAAGCUAUGCAAGUCGAGCGGGGUUUCAGAGUCGAGUUUCCUUCGGGAGACAAAGCACUGAAACCUAGCGGCGAACGGGUGAGUAACACGUGAGCAACCUACCCUGUUGUCCGGGAUAACAGACCGAAAGGCCUGCUAAUACCGGAUACGAAGCUCCUUCGCAUGUUGGAGCUUGGAAAGGGGCAACCCGCAAUGGGAGGGGCUUACGGCCUAUCAGCUAGUUGGUGAGGUAACGGCCCACCAAGGCGACGACGGGUAGCCGACCUGAGAGGGUGACCGGCCACACUGGGACUGAGACACGGCCCAGACUCCUACGGGAGGCAGCAAGCGGGAAUCUUGCACAAUGGGCGCAAGCCUGAUGCAGCGACGCCGCGUGAGGGAUGAAGGCCUUCGGGUCGUAAACCUCUGUUGACGGGGACGAAGAUCUGACGGUACCCAUCGAG
rnacentral:rRNA from 1 species